CGCACGGGUGAGUAACACGUAUCCAACCUGCCGUCUACUCUUGGACAGCCUUCUGAAAGGAAAAUUAAUACAAGAUGGCAUCAUGAGUCCGCAUGUUCACAUGAUUAAAGGUAUUCCGGUAGACGAUGGGGAUGCGUUCCAUUAGAUAGUAGCGGGUAACGGCCCACCUAGUCUUCGAUGGAUAGGGGUUCUGAGAGGAAGGUCCCCCACAUUGGAACUGAGACACGGUCCAAACUCCUACGGAAGGCAGCAG
rnacentral:rRNA from 1 species